CAGAUUGUUGAAGACAAGUAUGAUGACGAUGCUUUUCCUGAAAUUGCAUCACUUGAUAUCACGGCAUUUAACUGUUCCGAAAAGAAGACUGUACCGCUGGAAACACAUCUUGUAGGUAUUUCAAGUGAUAAACAACAAGAUCAAAUGAAAGCUUCUUCGAUGCUGAUUUGGAAUAGUACAUACCCAUCGUUUUCUUGUCCUAGGCUAUGAUUUGUGACAGACGACGGAACAAUACACAUAGAAACGAGUGGGUUUUUCUACAUUUCAUCACAACUCAAGUUUAAAC